rnacentral:ncRNA from 1 species
AUCGCCAGCAGUUUGGCGAUGUAGGGGAUCAAGGGCAGGUUCAGGAUCAGCAGCACCAGAUUGCCGAUGAACAUGGACAUGAUGACCGCCCAGAAGAUUUGCGGUUCAUCCACCAUCAGGCGCGGGCC